AAUAAGUGCACUUUUGUAUUGUUCAUGUUCAAUGUUUAACCGUUUGUCUUAUUAGAAAUUUUUUUAUGAUUAGUAUUGUUUUAUUAUUAGAUGAUAAAACAUGAAUAAUAUUUUAUGUGUGACUAAUUUUUUAUAAUUUUUAUAAUUUUUUAAAAUAAAACUAGCUGGGUGGCCUGCGCAAUUGCGCGGCUAGCACCCAAA
rnacentral:pre_miRNA from 1 species